rnacentral:rRNA from 1 species
UACGUAGGGUGCAAGCGUUGUCCGGAAUUAUUGGGCGUAAAGAGCUCGUAGGCGGUUUGUCGCGUCUGCUGUGAAAACGCGAGGCUCAACCUCGCGCCUGCAGUGGGUACGGGCAGACUAGAGUGCGGUAGGGGAGAUUGGAAUUCCUGGUGUAGCGGUGGAAUGCGCAGAUAUCAGGAGGAACACCGAUGGCGAAGGCAGAUCUCUGGGCCGUAACGUGACGCUGAG